rnacentral:rRNA from 1 species
GUGCCAGCCGCCGCGGUAAUACGGAGGGCGCUAGCGUUGUUCGGAAUUACUGGGCGUAAAGCGCGCGUAGGCGGCUAUUCAAGUCAGAGGUGAAAGCCCGGGGCUCAACCCCGGAACUGCCUUUGAAACUAGGUAGCUAGAAUCCUGGAGAGGUCAGUGGAAUUCCGAGUGUAGAGGUGAAAUUCGUAGAUAUUCGGAAGAACACCAGUGGCGAAGGCGACUGACUGGACAAGUAUUGACGCUGAGGUGCGAAAGCGUGGGGAGCAAACAGGAUUAGAUACCCCAGUAGUCC